rnacentral:rRNA from 1 species
UACGUAGGGGGCAAGCGUUUGUCCGGAAUUAUUGGGCGUAAAGAGCUCGUAGGCGGUCUGUCACGUCGGAUGUGAAAAUCCGGGGCUCAACCCCGGACUUGCAGUGGGUACGGGCAGACUGGAGUGUGGUAGGGGAGACUGGAAUUCCUGGUGUAGCGGUGGAAUGCGCAGAUAUCAGGAGGAACACCGAUGGCGAAGGCAGGUCUCUGGGCCACUACUGACGCUGAGAAGCGAAAAGCAUGGGGAGCGAACAGG